UUUUUAAAACUUUCCAAGAUAAAGUCACUGCAUUUCUUCUCUCUGAUUUAGACUUUUUGAGUUGGACUGCACAUUAUGUGAAAGCGGGAUCAAAUGCUUCUGAAGGUGUUCAAGGUGCAAAAAUCUCCACACCCUCCCCACCUCCGCCCAAAUGUAAGUCUGCAAUGCAAUCCUGGGGAACAGCCAGAACACUCAGUAAAUUUUCAGUGCGGAAAGAGACAAGCCAACAUGUAUCAUUCAAUGAACAAUUAUGUUCAUUUAGGAAAUAGCUGAUGAACUUACUUUUGACUACACUUUAUUUUAAAAUGUGAACAUAUUUAUUUUUUAUUGAGGUAAAAUGUUUG
rnacentral:lncRNA from 1 species